rnacentral:siRNA from 1 species
AGCCAUUCAACAUCACCUCUCCA